AUGUGCCCGCUCAACGCCAGGCUGGCCGCUUUGCCGCUGCGGGCCAGCUUGGGAUGUGCUUCCUGCAGCCCCGGGCUUUUGUCGGUGAUGGAGUCUAGAUUCCAGGGCACGGGGCAGGCCCGCCACUCCCCCGUCCUGGCCCCAUCGCAAAGGUCUGGGAUGCCAGACAUCCCAGCAUCAGAGACCUUUCUCCGGCUCAGCCUCCUGUGACAGCACCCGGCAAAGCUUCAUGAGCACGAAGAUGCAUCACCAGAAGAGUGAGAGCUUGUAAGGCUCCUCUCCCCAAACCUGGUCCCCAUUUUUCCUCUCUCCCUAAGCCUGGCCUGAGCUGACUGCUCAUUGCGAGAAAAUUUGCAGGCUCCUGGCCUCAAGCUGCAGCCUUGCAAACACAGCUACACAGGACUGGCUCCGCAGAACAGUCCCCAGGGUGCUUCCACUGGGGCCCAUCCACGAGCAGGUUCUUCUGCAUCCCCUGUUACUGCUAUUUGUGCUACCUGCUUGGCCCAACUACUAAAAUAGUUUCUGGGUCCCCUGACACAAGGCUUUUUAUAGUUCAGCACCGCAGGCCUCAUUUAAAUCUAUUAGCUCAUAUAAAUGGCAAUUCAUUUAAACUUUGGAGGAUUUCUGUUUGCCUUGGUGGCGAAGACGAUUUGGCUUUGUCUGUGGCUCUGCCAUGGGCAAGUGACCCUGGGCAAAUCAUUUAACCUCUCGGAGUCUCAGUUUCCACAUCAGUCAAUGGGGAGAAGGAGAGCCUACAUCACAGGACCCCGGUGAAUACAAUCCACCCAAAAUGCUUAGAACAGGGCCUGGCCCACACCAGGCAUCCACCCAGUGGGCGGCUGUUAUAACUACCUCCUGGCCAGUUCUGCGAGGAGCCUGUCCACCUGUCAGAGGCCUGCUGGGUAUGGCUGGGAAUCAGUGAUCCCCCUUAUAGACCCCCUUGGCGAUAAUGAAGACUGAGAAGCAGUGAGGCUCUCAGGACAGCAGGAAGGAGGUGCUGUCUCUGCCAGCGUCUGUGAGCAGAGAGGUGUCCACGGGGAUCAGAGACAGCUGGGCUGGGCGGGUGGAGCACGCCCCUCCCCUCAGGUCAGCUCACCCCUGGCAAAGGGCCCACAGGGCCCCAGGCCUUCAUCUGCUGAGGCCUGAGGCUGGAAACGCAAGGUCAACAGCAUUGACACUUUUGGGGUGUGCGGUUUACAGGCUUGUCUCACAUCCCCAACCAAAUCUGCAUGCCUCCCUCCACUGAGCCCCAGCACAACUGAGGAAACAGCGUCCAGAGAAAAGGUCUGGGCCAAAGGCGCUCGGAAACAUGUAGAAAGCGGGAAGUGAUGGCCCAGCCUCAGGCCCCCACUCUGUGCCAUUGCCCCUUUGCCUCCCUGCUCUGCACCCAGCAACUCCUAAGGCCCGGUGCCCGUGGCCUUGAGACUUGGCUAGGUGUCGCAGAGGGAAAGAUCUAGUCUCACUUUAUUCCACCUCAGGCCAGAAAUCAUGAAAUCACAGCAAAGCCCAAACAGAGGGGACCCUACCAAGUCAUCUGAAC
rnacentral:lncRNA from 1 species